rnacentral:SRP_RNA from 1 species
GGCCGGGCCCGUAGGGCGGUUGGCUCGUGAAUCUGGUCAGGGCUUGACCGCAGCAGCCAUAAGCGACGUCAUCCGAGUCUUCGGUGUCCUGGCCGUC